UACGGGGGGAGCAAGCGUUGUUCGGAUUUACUGGGCGUAAAGGGCGCGUAGGCGGCCUGUUAAGUCGAACGUGAAAUCCCUGGGCUCAACCCAGGAACUGCGUCCGAUACUGGCAGGCUUGAAUUCGGGAGAGGGAUGUGGAAUUCCAGGUGUAGCGGUGAAAUGCGUAGAUAUCUGGAGGAACACCGGUGGCGAAGGCGGCAUCCUGGACCGAUAUUGACGCUGAGGCGCGAAAGCCAGGGGAGCAAACGGG
rnacentral:rRNA from 1 species